CACUAAAGGGUGUUCGGGGCAGCUGCACAUGUAUUCAAUUCCACUCUGUGGACCACUGGUAAUUCCAGUGUCCACUAGUGCUCCGCUGUCCCUCACUCCUUUGUUCCUAAAGAUCCCCUGUACCACGCUAACUAAAACUCGGACCGUAGGCCUCCCCGACGUUUCGGUGACGAAUCACCUUUGUCAAGGGUUGCAAGGCUACUGUGCUUCCAAACGCCCGACAGGUAUUUAUAAAGGCUCUGGUGGCCGGUACUUCCUGUCCCUGGAGAGGCCAAUCGGCGAGCAGGACGUCAUAGUCGCGCUUCUCACGGUAUUACCGUGGCCAAUCCCAUACCAAUCUUUGCAUGUGGCCGUUGUUUACCUCCUAAAUAACGCGAGAGCUCAAUGCUUAGUCCCGUACUUGCGCGUUACUUCGCGCAUGCGGGAAAACUUCACCGAUAGCGCCAGUUCCAACCCUCUCUGCGCAUGUCAGAGGGCUCCACUCCCAUGACGAGGUGAGUAGAUCUGGAUUGUUUGCUGUUACCAUGUGAACCGCUAAGUUAACUCUAUAUGUGCCGAUCAAGCUGAUCUCUAAAGCUAUGUCUGAUGUAAGGUGGUGGUCAGUUUUAUAUAUGUCUGUCUGGCUGUUGUUGAGACCUGUAACUGAUGCAGGGUGAUGACUAUGAGCAUCCAAGUGAAGAUAAUCAGGAGAAGGCUCCAUUACACAGCCCUUUGGCUUAUUUUAACACAGGAAAAGCCGGUGUAGAGUAUUGUAAUGGUGAUAUAGGGGGGAUAAGGUAUAUGUAUUACUGUUCUACAAACAAAAUAUGAAAUAUGGUCAGCGGGCUCCUGGUAUCUAAACAGGCUACACUCAAUUGUUAUUCAUACAGUUGAGUCAGAUGGAUACGUGGUCCUGAUGAUAUGUCCUCACAAUAGGUGUAUACCUACAUAUGUCUCCUGUUUAUAUGAUAGGUUGCCAGUCAAUCAGUUUUUAUCCUUGAUUCUUAUGGUAAUCCAAGACUUCUAAUCUCCUGCAUGCUCUUUUCCUUACAGUCUACCUGAUGCUCCGGUGGACUCCGUCUCCACCCCAUCCCCCAGUGUCCCAUAUCCGAGGACAACCAGGGUAUCAGGACAGCCAACUGUGUUUUGACCACGACACUUCACUCCAACCCGCCAUACUACCACACGGAUAGCCAUCCCCAGUGAUACUAGGUGAUGCACGGACCAGGAGAUGCAGAGCAGAGCUUGUGGAAUAAGGAAAGGAUAAGGAUGCAAAAUAAAUGUAAAGACAUUCUGCCUUAUACAGUACAAUUUCCAUGGACAAUUAAAUAUAGGUUCCCAAGACAAGUAAGUAGUGCCUUUUCAUAUACUAAAUCAGUUUUCUAUACACUGAUCGCAAAUACAGAAAACAAACUAAUGUGUCACAAGACACAAACUGAGAAACAAAAAAGUCUACAAAUAA